GUCUUAGCAGAGCUACCAUAUCUUCACGCUUCAACACACACACAUACACUAUACACUAACAUACACCCACUUGAGGAGAGUUGAGAAACACCUUUAGUACCACUGUCAUUGUCAGAUAACAUAUUCGCUCCCUAGAAUCCAAGGGGGCAUUACAGUAGGCUACAUGAAUGGGCAAGUAACAUCUCUGGUGAAACUGAUUCAAGACUGGACCAAGACAUGUGUUGCCUUGGCUACUGCAUAGGUACGGCAUCUAAAAACACAUUCUGGACGUAACCAAUGAAUGGCGGGAGCCUGUAGAGCACGAGCGUACACACGGCGGUACAGUGAGGUCGUGUGUGGAACAACAGCACAUCUAGGUGAAUCGUGACAGAGAUAAGAGGUGCAGUCCAUGUUUCAACAGUCCGGGUAAAUCCCGGAUCUUCUGCCUUAGCUGAGUCUGGUCUCGAGCCCCGGUGUUUCGGUUAUUCCACCGCCAGCCGCCGACCAUACCAUCUUCUCCACCGGACUCAGAGUCCUCCAUAAACAAAAUGGUGGAAAGGACGAACUGGAGGCGACGUCAUCGCCUCACCUGCGGCUCAAAUUUCGAUAGCCCACAGUUUCCUGUUUCCAGGCACACCCCUCUCCCCCGUCUCAUCAAGGCCACUCCUGAAUGUUCGACCGCGGGGCAGGGGAUUCCAGUACCUGGAGGGUUAUGGCCUGGAAGAGAGGUGCUGGGUCCCCGCUAGGGACAUCCUGGACCCAGGCCUCAUCGCUGAGUUCCAACGCCGGUACCCGGGGCAACCAGGUCUGCACCCAGGUAGGAUGCCAGGUGUCGCCCCUAGAGGGGGGGUACUGUCACACCCUGAUCUGUUUCACCUGUCUUUGUGCUUGUUUCCACCCCCCUCCAGGUGUCGCCCAUCUUCCCCAUUAUCCCCAGUGUAUUUAUACCUGUGUUCUCUGUUGCCAGUUCGUUUUGUUUCAUCAAGCCUAACCAGCGUUUUCCCCGUGCUUCUGUCUUUCUCUAGUUCUUGUUUUCCCGGUUUUGACCAUUCUGCCUGCACUGACCCUGAGACUGUCUGCCGUUCUGUACCUUGUGACACUGCCCUGGAUUACUGACCUCUGC